UUUAUACUCCCUCCGUCCGAAAAAGCUUGUCCCUCAAAUAGAUGUAUCUAGCAUCAAGUUAGUGCUAGAUACAUCCAUUUGAAGGACAAGCUUGGGACAAGUUUCUUCGGACGGAGGGAGUAGAUC
rnacentral:pre_miRNA from 1 species